UGGGGAAUUUUGGACAAUGGGCGCAAGCCUGAUCCAGCAAUGCCGCGUGCAGGAUGAAGGCCUUCGGGUUGUAAACUGCUUUUGUACGGAACGAAAAAGCUCUCUCUAAUACAGGGGGUGAAUGACGGUACCGUAAGAAGAAGCACCGGCUAACUACGUGCCAGCAGCCGCGGUAAUACGUAGGGUGCGAGCGUUAAUCGGAAUUACUGGGCGUAAAGCGUGCGCAGGCGGUUUUGUAAGACAGAUGUGAAAUCCCCGGGCUUAACCUGGGAACUGCGUUUGUGACUGCAAGACUGGAGUACGGCAGAGGGGGGUGGAAUUCCACGUGUAGCAGUGAAAUGCGUAGAGAUGUGGAGGAACACCGAUGGCGAAGGCAGCCCCCUGGGCCUGUACUGACGCUCAUGCACGAAAGCGUGGGGAGCAAACA
rnacentral:rRNA from 1 species